UUUUAUCUAGACGAUAUUAAAACUCAGAAGAAUUAAUUUUGACAUUGUUUUGUACUUCGUUUACAUCAGUUGCUGAUUUUCUCUGUUCAAGAAGGAUAGUGUACUACGAUAGAGACAGUGAUCACAUAUUUUUCCGUUUCACAUAUGGUAUGUUUUCAGGAAUUUGAAAUUAAACAGAAAUCUCAAAGAGUGGAGAGAGCAAAUUUUCAUAGGGGAGUAAGCCCCUCUGGAAUUAGAAUAGGUUCAUCACUCUAUAUCCUGCCACACGUGUCCAGUGUGGCAGUGGUAAAUACAGACCAGAAAGGCACUGCCUGAGCUGAACCGGGGUCAGGUCACUUAUCACCCCCAGUUUGGGUUCGAGGGUGGCCUUCGGCAAAGUUGUGACCACUGUUUCACUGGUAUGUUGAUUUGGACAGCUUAAUCUCCAGCUUGGGAAAUGAGAAAUGGGCCCUGGGUUCUACCCUUGCUUCUGAUAAGUUGCGAAGACCUCACCUUAGUCGCCCCAAACCUGAAGGGGUCCUUCAUUCGCAAAGAGGAAUCUCCUGAAGCUGUCAAAGAGGGAAAUCCACAGGGUGUUGUUUCAGAGGAAAUGGGAGGAUAAUGCCAGAAAGGGCUCCUUGAGUUGUAACACCCAUGGAGGCCUGUGUUUCAGCUUUCUUCUGUAGUCAAGCCAUACCCUACCUUGGGAUCAACGCUAAAAGCUCCCUUUUUUAAGUACUUGCUGUUCAUUUUGUUGUGGGAGAAGAAAAAGAGGUGCAAAGUGUGGAGGUGAGGGAGAGGUCAUCUCUUCCCAGAUAAUUCCAUCUGUCCUGAACCUUAAUGUCUAGGAUAAUUCCAGUUUAUUGCAUUUGGCAGCAGGAACUUUGCAUGAGAGAGAACAUCGAUUCUCUUGGAUGGGCCGGGCCCAGGUGAUCUCUUUGGGCUGGAUUUAUGCUUUUUAUUUCGUUCCUAGUGUAUAUAGAUGGAUACCUGCGUGGUCCAGAAUUGAUCCUUGUUAUACACUGGACAGAUGGGGGAAACCUCUUACGUUCGUUGCUUUCUGGUGUGCCAAAGAAAGGCAGGAAUGUUCAAGAAAUUCUCUUCGGCUUAAUUUUUGUGAAGCUGACAAGUUGGAUAAUUCUCACUGUGUGUCUACUGGAGUCAUGGGGUUUUGUGGUUUUCCGACGCACGUACUGCCCCUAGUGUGGAUAUGCUGCUGUUCUGCAGCCGAAUAAUUAAGGUCUGGGGAAACAUGAAUCAGUAUCUUUCGUUAAUUAAACAAGGACCCACUUCAGAUCUUACUUAGCGCAACCCAGUAAGUAAAUCAAAUUGUGGAGAACGGCUACAUUUUUAUGAAAACACUUAGGUCAAAAACCGUG
rnacentral:lncRNA from 1 species